rnacentral:rRNA from 1 species
UAGGGAAUAUUGGACAAUGGGCGAAAGCCUGAUCCAGCAAUGCCGCGUGAGUGAUGAAGGCCUUAGGGUUGUAAAGCUCUUUUACCAGGGAUGAUAAUGACAGUACCUGGAGAAUAAGCUCCGGCUAACUCCGUGCCAGCAGCCGCGGUAAUACGGAGGGAGCUAGCGUUGUUCGGAAUUACUGGGCGUAAAGCGUACGUAGGCGGUGACUCAAGUCAGAGGUGAAAGCCUGGAGCUCAACUCCAGAACUGCCUUUGAAACUAGGUCGCUAGAAUCACGGAGAGGUGAGUGGAAUUCCGAGUGUAGAGGUGAAAUUCGUAGAUAUUCGGAAGAACACCAGUGGCGAAGGCGGCUCACUGGACGUGUAUUGACGCUGAGGUACGAAAGCGUGGGGAGCAAACAGGAUUAGAUACCCCCGUAGUCCCUGAGCGGGCUGGCAAGGCGCAU